UCAGAAUUUGGCUCAGGAGAGAGAUGAAGAGAAAAUGCACAUAGAUAAUUGGCUCAGAUAACAUUCUGUUUCUAGAAGUCACAAAGAGUGGAAAUUGGAAUAUGUAAAUUAAAGAAAAAUAGUCCUUAAGAUCAAGUCCACAAUGGAAGAAGAACAUUCAUUUGGUACAAGUUGAUGAUGGAGUAAGCCCAAGGAGUGAUGUCAACACUGGGGUUCACCUGAGAACAUGGACACGACUGAUGAGGGUUUAGGAGAUGCUCAUAUGAGAUCUUCGUAUGUUCCCUGGAUCCUAGCUUUGCCUUCCCACCAGAGAGGAUGUAAUUCAGCUGAGAUGUCCCAGGGUCAACUCUGCUCAUAUCUGCUCCACACUGAAGCCAAUCAUCUGAGAAACCCAAGAGGUGUUUAACGCAGUUACGAAAGUGAGGGAUGGAGACCAUAAAUUCCUUUUCACGUAGCAGAGUAUAUAUGUGAUGCUCAUUCUGUGGUAUUUGGGGCAUAAACCAGAGUAGAUGAAGGAAUGUGAAGGUACUCCAAACCUUGACUUUUAUCUCUAUAAAAAUGGCACAGGGACGGCACACACCUGGUUGUUAUGACUGUACUCUUUUCAGAUUUACUACCUGCCUUUCUACUGGUUUUUCUGUGCCACAGGUCUUGACUUCUGCAGGCUAAAUUUCUCAGCCCGUUCUGCUCACUGAUAUAUGGGAAGAUUUGGCCAAAGGUGGGCAACUGGUGGGGAGAAGGAUAAGGGAAUUCAGGGGAUGGCUGAGCCCAUUGUCUACUUUAGACAGUGCUGCUGUCACUGGCUCUGUCUUCUUCUCUGUUUCCAUCUCCCAUCAGACGGUUCUUCCCUCUAUGGGGCUAGUCUUACCUGGACACUUUCCAGUUGGAUUCCCGUUCUGGGGAUGUUCCUUCCUCCAGGGAUGUAAGUCCUUCCCAUUGUCUUCGGCUCCUGGGCUCAGCUAGAGCCAUCUUUUCCCAUUGUCCCUGUGGUGCUAGGGCUUUCAGUUGUCAUUAACGUCUGUGUUGUAUCAUCUUGCCUGAAUUUCAGCUCUCUGUAACCAGUUCCCCAAACAAAAUUCCCCCCAUUUACCUAC